ensembl:lncRNA
CGUGAACAGGUAUAAGUGUACUGUAUUAUACAUUUUCCAUUUAAAAUAAGAAAGAGGCUCUGCAUUAAUUGAAUUAAUGUUUUCUUGAAAAAUAUGUGAUUUUCGAUAGACUUGUGGAAGAUGGCCCUUUUGGAAAAGCUCAGGAUUGCAGCUCCCAGAGAAAGUGCAGAGGAUGGAGCCUUGCUCUGUCACCCAGGCUGGAGUGCAAUGGUGUGGUUGUGGCUCACUGCAACUUCUGCCUUCUGGGUUCAGGUGAUUCUCUUGCCUCGGCCUCCUGAGUAGCUGGGACUACAGUUGAGCACCACCACAUGUGGCUAAUGUUUGUAUUUUUAGUAGAGAUGGGGUUUCAUUGUGUUGGCCAGGCUGGUCUCGAGCUCCUGACCUCGUGAUUCACCUGCCUUCACCUCCCUAAGUGCUGGGAUUACAGGCCUGAGCCACCAUGCCUGGCCUAAAAACAUGCAACCAAUUCUGAUGCACCCUCAGUCACUGCAGCACAUAACCAUCAAUCUUCAGGACACACUGUGUGGUAAGAAAUGAAUUGGAAUUCUCCCACACUGUGUAAGCCCGGGAAAUAGUCUGCAGAGAGUGACAUGGCAAAUUCGUUUGAUGACGGAAGGACCUCGGCUUCCUCACUGUGCCAAAAGAUAUUCCCUUGACCUUAAAGGAUCUGUAUUCCUUCCAAUUAUAUAUUGAACACAAUGCUUGAGGGCUUUUUUGUUCUUUUUUCCUCCUGAAUGUUAAAUAUAAUAAAUAUUGAAAAAAUACAGUUUAAUACUAUAAUAAUUCUCUUUUUUUAGACAAAGGCAAAUUCUUCUCAACUAUAAAAGUAUACAAACAUAUUUUCAAAGGGGUGUGUGUGUCUGCGUGUGUGUGUGUGUGUGUGUGUGUGUGAACUGAAAUGCUCUAUACCUUAUACGUCAAUCAUCCCAUGUCCAAGGUUUUUCUUUUGAAAGGAAUAUAAAACCAAUGAAAAAAUAAGGCUCAUAAAAAAAUCCUUAAAGAUUUUAAUGUUAGGACUGGAAUUUACAUAGUGUAUGGUAGGAAGAAAAAAAUCUAAUCUUUUUGCUCUUCUUCUCAUAAACCUUCCAACAGCUUCCCACAGAACUUGGAAUAAAACCUAUUAUCCUUUUCAUUUCACUCACGGGCCUGGCUGUUUUGGCCUCUGCUAACCCAGCAAGUCAUCUUCUGCUACUCUCACUCCAGCCUUCUCAAAAACGUUUAAGUCCUAUUACCAAUAAGUCCUAUUGGUAAACACUGUUUCAGUUUCUUGACGUGGCCAAACUCCCCUGCAGAAACUCCUCAAAUGCUGUUCUUUCUGCCUGGAAACAUUGUUUACCUGGUUCGCCUUCUGAUCCUUUCUCCCUCCUCUCUUCCCAUCUCAGCUUAUGAUUUCAAUGUAUCUUCAUUAAAGUAACAGCAGGUAGUAAUUAUGUAUUUGUCAUUAUACCUUUUUAAUAUCACUCUCCACUAUGCAAUUAUUAAGGUGUAUUUUGUCUCUCUCUGCAUAUUCAGAAAGAUUGCCUGAUACAGAGUAGGCACUUAACAUUUGUGGAGCGAUUCGACAGCUAGAUGUGCACAUGAAUUUAUGAAUGCUGUUUACAAGAAGUGUCACUGCAUUCUUGGAUGAAACUUGUGAACUGUGGUGGUAUUUGCUAUUAUUUCAUAUGUUCUAGUGGAUCUUUGAAAAGCAUUAUAUAUUGAAAUUGGUUUAUUUAGCAUUACAUGAAUUCUUUGUUUUUUGAGUUUUUCAUUUUUAAUUUUCAUGAUUACAUAGUAGAUUUAUGGGGUACACAGUAUGUUUUAAUACAGGCAUGCAAUGUGAAAUAAGCACACCAUGGAGAAUGAGGUAUCCAUCCUCUCAAGCAUUUAUCUUGCAUGUUACAAUCC